rnacentral:lncRNA from 1 species
UUUUAUUUAUUAAUUUUAUUAUCUUAUUUAUUUUGACGUAUUAUUUAGGAUUAUGAAAUUACGUAAUUAAUAUGAAAAAUGAAAACUUACUUUUAUUAUGAGCCCUACAACGGGGCCAGAGCGGGCCCCGACGACGUUGGUGCCCGUUGGAGGCACUGUCGGUGCCCGAUUGACCUUCCGCUUCUUCUUUUCCUCAUGCGAACACUGUGGAGGUAGCACCAGGUUCCACCGCGCGUUCUCCACAUUCAGAGGUGCCGGAGAUGCCGCCGCGACUUUCGGAAUGGCCACCGUGACCACGAACCGGUGAAGUUGGCGACUGUCCGUCUUCCCUCACCAACGCGAUCUAAGGAUUUACUUCAUAAUCAUUGUUGAACUUGAUACUAAGGAUGGUUCAUCUUGAAUGGGUUUUGAUGGUGUUUUCUGUGAUUGAACAGUUUCAAAACGUUAUACAUGUAAAAGAAAUGUUUGUGAGAUUGAUAAACAAUGUUUGAGUUGACAUUAUUUGACCCGGGUUACAUAGUUAGAA